GAGCCAUUUCAACCAUUUUUCCAACACCUCCAUGGCCCAAGCUCAAGAGAAAACGGAUAGUGCGGGCUGCUAAUCUUGCCGAUUCUGGACAUUCAAUUUCAACAUCUUCACAUCAACAUUGCAAGGUGAAUAAUGCAGGUAUUUGGAAGCCUAAAAACCCACUUAUACUUUACAGGUAUUUAUGUUGGGAAAAAAGGAUGAGAAUUUUGGGAGGGUAUGUUUGUCUUUGUGUAAUAGUUAAAUGUUCAUAAGAGAUUACACAUGUUUAGAACCUUUACAAGAAAGGAAAACAAAAUUGCCUAUUUUAUGACAAAAUAAUUGGAAUUUGUUUUGUAUCUUUAGGCAAGGGUAUUCACCCCAAGAAUGAGUAAUCCACUGUUUCACGAGAAUAGCAAAAUUACACCUGAAGCACAUGUUAUUAUGCAUUUUAAAGGAUAAACUAAUAGUCCACUACAUUAGGUUUCAAGCUUUAUUUGCUAGUAUUGCUCCUAUCAUCUACUUAAUUGCUAAAAGAGUCCUGUCCUGUGGUAGAUUUUGUUUACUAGGUAUAGGCAGGCCAUCGAAAAUGUGAGCAAUUUUUCAGAAAAUAGUCAUUUUUGUAGACUUUUUUCUUGUAUGGUUGGAAACAUUCAUCACCACCAAAUACAGCAGUAUAAGGAAUCCGUUUGGACAUUGAUUGAUGUCCAAAGAGGAAGGGGAAGAGAUUGAUAAGACUGGUGUUGAGGUUUGUGGCAUUGAUCUGGUCAUGACCUAAGCAGGGGUGUCGAAGGUUAAGGCCGUCAAACAUAGAAAAGGUUUGAUUUGCGCCAAUUUUAGUAUCCUUUAACCUGCAUUAAGGGUGCACUUGUGGCAUUACAAUGAAGUCGACUACCACAAUGAAAGUUAAUUCAAAAUCAUAAGCCACUUCAAUUUUCACAAUGUUACUUAUUGUUGGUUAUUACUUUCUUAAAUGGGUUGUGGUGGACUUGAAAUUUUUUGCAGUAGUUCUUAUUGUCUGUGGACUUCAAAAGUGAUUGCAAUUUUGUUGUCUCUUAACUUUACAUUGGAAAAAAAUAAUAUUAACUUAAUCUUACAUAGAGGAUAAUGUUAAGACGAAUAAAGUGAUGUUAAGGGUGCUGAUCCAGUUGCUGGUGCAGAUGACCGUGUUAUUAUUAUUUCAUCUAAUGAGGUACAUGAUCUCCCUCUCUCUUAGCUUUAUAUGUAGCAUAGUUUUAGUUAGCGUGUUCUUCCAGCAAUUUGAGUUUCUGCAUUUUGUUUAAGGUUUAUGCCUUAAAUUUGAACAUCUUAAGUGUAUACUAAGGAUUAGUGAUGGCAACGGGGCGGGGUAAAUUGCCAUCCCUAAGGAUUAAGAUGGAGUUUGGCUUUAUGUGUUUUCCAAAAUGUCAUCGAAGCUGUUUCACUUGUAUGUCAUUUUUAGGGUCUUGAUGAUGAGAUGGGUUUACUUCUUUUGAUUCACUGUAUGUCCCCUCAAAUGUUACAAAAGCCUUAAUUACUUAACUAAAAUUAAAAAUCUGCACUUCUUAUCAGUGAUGCUAAUUUUUCUCAUACCAGUAGGCUAAAUCAAGCUUUCAGUUGCAAAAGCUGGAUUUGAGGGUUUUCAGAGUGUCCUAUAUGGCAUCGAAAGAGGAAUUGAAAAAAUAAAGCGACCUGACUUACCAAGACCUGCUGAAGAGGCUUUUGCUCUCGAGGCAGAGGAAGCUAAUCAAGAAGCAUAAUUUUGAUGUACACAAGUUCGUGGAAUUACAGAAGAAAUACAAAUUACCUAUGCACACGUGUCCCUCUCAAAAAGCAGAUGGGCAUAGUAGAAGAACCAGAGGAUCUUUUACCUGGCCAUUGAAACCAUGUAGUUGCUGCGGCUUCUUCAAUCUUACAUUUUAAAUAUAUUUAGUUUCGGAGUCAACCGAAAGCUCCCAUUUUCUUUGAGGGGGACUCAUAUUUCUUACAAUUUGUAUAUCCUGCAUCUCUUGAGAAGUCUUACUAUUUUUUAUAUAGGGAGUUGUACAAAGAGCCUACUGGAGAUGCAGAAUCUCAAGGAAAAUCAUCAGUGUGGAAAAAUUUGAAGUCUCUUGGAAAUAAUAUCAUUGUUGGCUGGAGGACACUUUUAACUUCUUCUCGAGAAGAUCACUGGAGAUUAGAAGUUCUCCAUUCCAGCAUUGAGGAGGCCGAUGGGUGGUUUUACUCACUACUUAGUUUGUGAUUUUUUUUUAUUUUUUAUUUUAUUUUGGGAAAAUGUAUUGAAUUUUUAGGUGUUUUAGAAUUUUGGAUCUGAAUUUUGUACAGAUAUUGUUACAUUUUGGAGUUCAAUUAAUAAUGAUUAUCGGAGUUAUUUGAUA